rnacentral:rRNA from 1 species
UACAGAGGUCCCAAGCGUUGUUCGGAUUCAUUGGGCGUAAAGGGUGCGUAGGCGGCAAGGUAAGUUGGAUGUGAAAUCCCGGGGCUCAACCCCGGAACUGCAUUCAAUACUGCUUUGCUAGAGUAUUGGAGAGGAGAUUGGAAUUCACGGUGUAGCAGUGAAAUGCGUAGAUAUCGUGAGGAAGACCAGUGGCGAAGGCGAAUCUCUGGACAAUAACUGACGCUGAGGCACGAAGGCUAGGGGAGCAAACGGG